rnacentral:rRNA from 1 species
UACGUAGGGGGCAAGCGUUGUCCAGAUUUAUUGGGCGUAAAGAGCGUGUAGGCGGCCAAGCAGGUCCGCUGUGAAAACUCGAGGCUCAACCUCGAGACGUCGGUGGAAACCGUUUGGCUAGAGUCCGGAAGAGGAGAAUGGAAUUCCCGGUGUAGCGGUGAAAUGCGCAGAUAUCGGGAGGAACACCGGUGGCGAAGGCGGUUCUCUGGGCCUUACCUGACGCUGAGGAGCGAAAGCGUGGGGAGCGAACAGG